AUUCUUUUGCAGCUCAUAAGCAUGAUGAUUAGAUUUUCAUGUGCACAUGUGAGAUGUGCCUCAUCAAGCCUUGUUAUGACCUCAGCACACCCAGAUGUGC
rnacentral:snoRNA from 10 species